UCUGGGACAAGCCCUGGAAACGGGGUCUAAUACCGGAUAACACUCUCCGAGGCAUCUCUGGGGGUUGAAAGCUCCGGCGGUGAAGGAUGAGCCCGCGGCCUAUCAGCUUGUUGGUGAGGUAGAAGCUCACCAAGGCGACGACGGGUAGCCGGCCUGAGAGGGCGACCGGCCACACUGGGACUGAGACACGGCCCAGACUCCUACGGGAGGCAGCAGUGGGGAAUAUUGCACAAUGGGCGAAAGCCUGAUGCAGCGACGCCGCGUGAGGGAUGACGGCCUUCGGGUUGUAAACCUCUUUCAGCAGGGAAGAAGCGAAAGUGACGGUACCUGCAGAAGAAGCGCCGGCUAACUACGUGCCAGCAGCCGCGGUAAUACGUAGGGCGCAAGCGUUGUCCGGAAUUAUUGGGCGUAAAGAGCUCGUAGGCGGUCUGUCACGUCGGAUGUGAAAGCCCGGGGCUUAACCCCGGGUCUGCAUUCGAUACGGGCAGACUAGAGUGUGGUAGGGGAGAUCGGAAUUCCUGGUGUAGCGGUGAAAUGCGCAGAUAUCAGGAGGAACACCGGUGGCGAAGGCGGAUCUCUGGGCCAUUACUGACGCUGAGGAGCGAAAGCGUGGGGAGCGAACAGGAUUAGAUACCCUGGUAGUCCACGCCGUAAACGGUGGGAACUAGGUGUUGGCGACAUUCCACGUCGUCGGUGCCGCAGCUAACGCAUUAAGUUCCCCGCCUGG
rnacentral:rRNA from 1 species